rnacentral:misc_RNA from 1 species
GUGGGGUUUUAGAAUCAUUGUGAAGUGGAAGUGGGAUGUUUUCUUGAGUGUUUGAUGAGGACCCAGAUGACAGAUGAGGUUUCAGGCGAACAGUAGAAGGGUGAAGAUGACCGGAGAAGAGAAUAGAGGUAGUAGAGAUAUAAAAGAUAAUAAUGAGAGAAGUAAAGAGAGCCAAGCAAGUGGGUAUGAAGAAGAAUGACCUGAAUGAAGGGGAAAAUCGGCGGUGACCGAGGCAGUAGAGGAGCAAGGAACUGUUGGCCAUGGAGAGAGUUUCGAGCCCUCUCUCCAGAAGGCAGCACAAGCUCUUUGCA